UCAUUUUAAGCAAUAAAUUAAUAUAACAAACAAUUAUCUAGCUCGGUUAACAACAAUGAAACAAAAUAAAAUAAAAUAAAAAUAACAAUAAUAGAAGUAAAAUAAUACAAAUACGCAAAAAUUAACCAUGUUCUAUUAAUUUUAUGAUUAUAGCUAAAAUUUAUUCACUUUAAAAUAAUACAAAUCCCAAAUCAAACAAUAUCAAUCUUAACAAAAAACACAAAUACAUAAUAGUUUGAAUUUAAUUUUGAAAUAAUAGAGGCGUUGCUUUCCGGUAGGCUUCAUCGCAGUAAAGCCAGAUAAAAAUCCAAACAAAUCUAACCACUUUCAGGCCGGCAUUGGACCAAAACCACAAGAGAGUGACGACAACCACGUUUUCGGUGGUUUUUGCCGAUUUUGAGGGGAUUCUCGAUGAGAAUCAGAUGGUACGAGGUCAGUUUUGGACUGUUGGGAGAGUAGCCGAAGUAGAUUCCGGUGAAUUGUUGAUAGCAUCAAAACUGGGGUCAAUUUUUGAUAUUUUUCGAUGGUGGGCGACCAGUUUUGCUUUUUUCGGUGGAUUUUCGAUGGUGUUUGGUAAAAAAUCUAAGCUAGUGGGAUGUUUUUUGGUGAGUCAUCGAUCUUACAGAUUUCCAGCUAGUUGUUUCGCUGGUGGAGAGGGUAUUUUCGAUGAGAUUUCAACGAUGGACAGUCAGUUUUGGGGUUGUCUCGAUCGAAUUUUGAUGAUGGUUUGGUCAUUUUUCUUUAUUUGGAGCAACAGAAGUAUUUGUUUUGGGAUUUAGAGGAGUUGGAGUUGGUGAUGAGACGACGAUUUCAGUGAACUUGUUCACCCGAAAAACCCAAAACCCACUUGUUUUUCACUUGCGCUCCCUAUCUCUGUCGAUUAUCUCUUAAUCUUUUUUUGAUCAGAUUUUCUCAUUGUUUUCUACAUCCCCUUCACUGAUUUUCCUCUCAAACUUUCCUUCAAUAUUUUACUCUCAACUUUCCUUCAAUGUGUGUAUUGUUGCCCAGUAUGGAUGUUUAUUCGUGUGACCUUAGUGAUAGAAGAAUGUAUGUGCAAAGAAUAGUGUAAAAGAAUGUACACAUACUUUCACAUCAACAGUUUUUUAGAUUUAAAAUUUGCUACUCAUAUCCAUUUUUUGAACAAAAUGUCAUCUAUAUAAUUGUAUCAUUAUAUAUAUUUCGUACACAAAGAAACAUCUUGAACAUUUUCACUCAUACUUUUUCACAAUAAAAUUUAUAGUAUAAACGGCACAAGAUUGAAUUAAAAUUCGAUGAAUUAAAAUGAGUACUGAAGCAAUGAAAUCGUCACUGAAAACUUCAAACAGAACUCCUGAAUUCUAACCCCAAUCUUUCUUCUCUUUUUCUCCUUCUUUCUUCUACUGCUCUUGUUGUUUCUGUCUUUUCAUUUUCUCACUAUUUUCCCUCUCUAUUUUUUUUCUUUAUCUGUGUCUGAUCUUUAAUGUACGUACCCG
rnacentral:lncRNA from 1 species